GAUGAACGCUGGCGGCGUGCCUAAUACAUGCAAGUCGAGCGAACAGACGAGGAGCUUGCUCCUCUGACGUUAUCGGCGGACGGGUGAUUAACACGUGGAUAACCUACCUAUAAGACUGGGAUAACUUCGGGAAACCGGAGCUAAUACCCGAUAAUAUAUUGAACCGCAUGGUUCAAUAGUUAAAGAAGGUUUUUCUGUCACUUAUAGAUUGAUCCGCGCGGCAUUAGCUAGUUGGUUAGGUAACGGCUUACCAAGGCAACGAUGCGGAGACGACCUGAGAGGGUGAUCGGCCACACUGGAACUGAGAAACGGUCCAGACUCCUACGGGAGGCAGCAGUAGGGAAUCUUCCGCAAUGGGCGAAAGCUUGACGGAGCAACGCCGCGUGAGUGAUGAAGGUCUUCGGAUCGUAAAACUAUGUUAUUAGGGAAGAACAAAUGUGUAAGUAACUAUGCACGUCUUGACGGUACCUAAUCAGAAAGCCACGGCUAACUACGUG
rnacentral:rRNA from 1 species